rnacentral:rRNA from 1 species
AUCAACUUUCGAUGGUAGGAUAGAGGCCUACCAUGGUGGUAACGGGUAACGGGGUGUUAGGGCACGACACCGGAGAGGGAGCCUGAGAAACGGCUACCACAUCCAAGGAUGGCAGCAGGCGCGCAAAUUACCCAAUCCCGACACGGGGAGGUAGUGACAAUAAAUAACAAUACGGGGUUCUUUCGGAUCUCGUAAUUGGAAUGAGUACAAUUUAAAUCUCUUAACGAGGAACAAUUGGAGGGCAAGUCUGGUGCCAGCAGCCGCGGUAAUUCCAGCUCCAAUAGCGUAUAUUAAAGUUGUUGCAGUUAAAAAGCUCGUAGUUGAAUUUCGGGGUUAGUAGAUUGGUCAUGCCUCUGGUAUGUACUGGUCUCACUGAUUCCUCCUUCCUGAUGAACCUUAAUGCCAUUAAUUUGGUGUUUUGGGGAAUUUGGACUGUUACUUUGAAAAAAUUAGAGUGUUUAAAGCAAGCUAACGCUUGAAUACAUUAGCAUGGAAUAAUGAAAUAGGACGUUCGAUCCUAUUUUGUUGGUUUCUAGGAUUGACGUAAUGAUUAAUAGGGAUAGUUGGGGGCAUUAGUAUUCAAUUGUCAGAGGUGAAAUUCUUGGAUUUAUUGAAGACUAACUACUGCGAAAGCAUUUGCCAAGGAUGUUUUCAUUAAUCAAGAACGAAAGUUAGGGGAUCGAAGACGAUCAGAUACCGUCGUAGUCUUAACCAUAAACUAUGCCGACUAGGGAUCGGAUGAUGUUAAUUUUUUAAUGACUCAUUCGGCGCCUUACGGGAAACCAAAGUGUUUGGGUUC